rnacentral:rRNA from 1 species
GGGGAAUUUUCCGCAAUGGGCGAAAGCCUGACGGAGCAAUACCGCGUGCGGGACGAAGGCUUUUGGGUCGUAAACCGCUUUUGUUAGGGAAGAAGAACUGACGGUACCUAACGAAUCAGCAUCGGCUAACUCCGUGCCAGCAGCCGCGGUAAUACGGAGGAUGCAAGCGUUAUCCGGAAUUAUUGGGCGUAAAGCGUCCGCAGGUGGUUUAUCAAGUCUGCUGUCAAAGCAUGGGGCUUAACUCCAUAUCGGCAGUGGAAACUGAGAGACUAGAGUACGGUAGGGGUAGCGGGAAUUCCCAGUGUAGCGGUGAAAUGCGUAGAUAUUGGGAAGAACACCAGCGGCGAAAGCGCGCUACUGGGCCGAAACUGACACUCAUGGACGAAAGCUAGGGGAGCGAAAGGGAUUAGAUACCCCUGUAGUCCUAGCUGUAAACGAUGACAACUAGGUGUUGCACGUAUCGACCCGUGCAGUGCCGUAGCUAACGCGUUAAGUUGUCCGCCUGGGGAGUACGCACGCAAGUGUGAAACUCAAAGGAAUUGACGGGGGCCCGCACAAGCGGUGGAGUAUGUGGUUUAAUUCGAUGCAACGCGAAGAACCUUACCAGGACUUGACAUGUCGCGAAUUCUUGUGAAAGUGAGAAGUGCCUUCGGGAGCGCGAACACAGGUGGUGCAUGGCUGUCGUCAGCUCGUGUCGUGAGAUGUUGGGUUAAGUCCCGCAACGAGCGCAACCCUCGUUUCUAGUUGCCAUCAUUGAGUUGGGCACUUUAGAGAGACUGCCGGUGACAAACCGGAGGAAGGUGGGGAUGACGUCAAGUCAGCAUGCCCCUUACGUCCUGGGCUACACACGUACUACAAUGCUGUGGACAAAGAGUUGCGAGCCAGCGAUGGCAAGCUAAUCUCGUAAACCAUGGCUCAGUUCAGAUUGCAGGCUGCAACUCGCCUGCAUGAAGGAGGAAUCGCUAGUAAUCGCAGGUCAGCAUACUGCGGUGAAUACGUUCCCGGGCCUUGUACACACCGCCCGUCACACCAUGGGAGUUGACCACGCCCGAAGUCGUUACUCCAACCGAAAGGAGGGGGAUGCCGAAGGCAGGGCUGAUGACUGGGGUGAAGUCGUAACAAGGUAGCCGUACCGGAAGGUGUGGCUGGAUCACCUCCUUU